rnacentral:rRNA from 1 species
GACGAACGCUGGCGGCGUGCUUAACACAUGCCAGUCGAACGGAAAGGCCUCUUUCGGGGGGUACUCGGGUGGCGAACGGGUGAGUAACACGUGAGUAACCUGCCCUUGACUUUGGGAUAACUUCAGGAAACUGGGGCUAAUACCGGAUAGGAGCUCCUGCUGCAUGGUGGGGGUUGGAAAGUUUCGGCGGUUGGGGAUGGACUCGCGGCUUAUCAGCUUGUUGGUGGGGUAGUGGCUUACCAAGGCUUUGACGGGUAGCCGGCCUGAGAGGGUGACCGGCCACAGUGGGACUGAGAUACGGCCCAGACUCCUACGGGAGGCAGCAGUGGGGAAUAUUGCACAAUGGGUGGAAGCCAGAUGCAGCAACGCCGUGUGCGGGAUGACGGCCUUCGGGUUGUAAACCGCUUUCGCUCAUGACGAAGCUUUGUGUGACGGUAGUGGGUAAAGAAGCACCGGCUAACUACGUG